CUAAGGGUGGGGGAGUGUGAAGGCCUUCUCACUCCGUGCCGGAAGGUUGACUGGUUUGAUCCAGUUCAGGUGAGAAGCAGGGAACAAAUUUUGAGGCCAUGGGUGUGAACUCUCCCUGGUCUUCUGCAAGAACUGUUGGACCCCUCCACCAACUCCAGCCUCCUCCCAUCCUCAAGGAAAAUUACCGCAUGGGGCUGGACUGGACACUUCCCAUUUCCAAGUUAUAGAAUCAACAGAAGACUUCGUGCCUGGAACGGCAUGGCUUUUAAUCAUAAAUUAAGAAGCUCUACACAAUGUUUUGCUAUAAUUUGGAGUGUGCAUAGCAGCUUUAUGGAGUAAUAAUAAUUAAUAUGAAGAGUUG